ACGGAAGGCAGCAGUGGGGAAUAUUGCACAAUGGGCGAAAGCCUGAUGCAGCGACGCCGCGUGAGUGAAGAAGUAUUUCGGUAUGUAAAGCUCUAUCAGCAGGGAAGAAAAUGACGGUACCUGACUAAGAAGCCCCGGCUAACUACGUGCCAGCAGCCGCGGUAAUACGUAGGGGGCAAGCGUUAUCCGGAUUUACUGGGUGUAAAGGGAGCGUAGACGGCGAUGCAAGUCUGAAGUGAAAGCUCGGGGCUCAACUCCGGAAUUGCUUUGGAAACUGUGUUGCUAGAGUGCAGGAGAGGUAAGUGGAAUUCCUAGUGUAGCGGUGAAAUGCGUAGAUAUUAGGAGGAACACCAGUGGCGAAGGCGGCUUACUGGACUGUAACUGACGUUGAGGCUCGAAAGCGUGGGGAGCAAACAGGAUUAGAUACCCUGGUA
rnacentral:rRNA from 1 species